CCUACGGGAGGCAGCAGUGAGGAAUAUUGGUCAAUGGACGAGAGUCUGAACCAGCCAAGUAGCGUGAAGGAUGACUGCCCUAUGGGUUGUAAACUUCUUUUAUAUGGGAAUAAAAUGUUCCACGUGUGGGAUUUUGUAUGUACCAUAUGAAUAAGGCUCGGCUAACUCCGUGCCAGCAGCCGCGGUAAUACGGAGGAUCCGAGCGUUAUCCGGAUUUAUUGGGUUAAAAGGGAGCGUAGGUGGAUUGUUAAGUCAGUUGUGAAAGUUUGCGGCUCAACCGUAAAAUUGCAGUUGAAACUGGCAGUCUUGAGUACAGUAGAGGUGGGCGGAAUUCGUGGUGUAGCGGUGAAAUGCUCAGAUAUCACGAAGAACUCCGAUUGCGAAGGCAGCUCACUGGACUGCAACUGACACUGAGGCACGAAAGCGUGGGGAUCAAACAGGAUUAGAUACCCUAGUAGUC
rnacentral:rRNA from 1 species